UCUGUUUUGGAGUUAUUCCAAGGUUAGAUGGUUUUGUUUGGAAAUUAUUGGACUUUACAGGAGAUGUUCUCUUAACAUUUUGAAAUGGAAGUGUUGAUGAAGUUUGAAAUUUGUUAGUUUUGAAUAGUAUAGUUUCAGUUUUAUUGUGUGGUUUUGAAGUGGUACUUAGUUGAUUUGAUGUUGGCACAGUUGUACUUUGUUGUUUAGAGGUUGACACAGUUGUACUUUGUUGUUUAGAGGUUGGCACAGUUGUACUUUGUUGUUUAGAGGUUGGAACAGUUGUACUUUGUUGUUUAGAGGUUGACAAAGUUGUACUUUGUUGUUUAGAGGUUGGAACAGUUGUACUUUGUUGUUUAGAGGUUGGAACAGUUGUACUUUGUUGUUUAGAGGUUGGAACAGUUGUACUUUGUUGUUUAGAGGUUGGAAC